rnacentral:lncRNA from 1 species
GGCGAGCGCAGCGCCUGGCGAGCGGAGGUCCGGGCGGGAGCACCCAGCGCAGGUGGUGAGUGUGCGUGAGGCGCAGGGGCGCCCCCUCCCCACCUUUUCUGGACGUGCGCCCAAGUGAGCCCUGGCGGCUGGCGCGGGUGGGUGGGAGAGGAGAAGGGGGUUGAGCAGGAGCUGGCGUGGAAAGGUAGGCUUGGGUCUCUGGAUCAUCCUUGGAGAUGGGACACUGGGAUCUGGGCAAGAGCAGAACCGCUGGCGGUUGUGCAGGUGGGUACCUGGCCCUCUACACUUGGGAGCCCCUGGAGAUGUGGACCGGUGCUCGCAGUGCCGCCUGCCCACGUUGGUACUGGACCCUAGCAGGAGAGGAGCAGCUCUUGGGCACCGACCCACUCUGACUUGUUCACUGUGACAGCUCUAUCGUCUCUCGGUUCUCAUUCCUCGCUGGUGCCCUCUCUGUCUCUCUCCAGCUCCUUCUCCUUGCCUUGGUCUCUGUGGCCAGUAGUUUCCCUGCCUUGCCCUUCUCUGGGCUCUGUCCUGGCUUCUGUGGACUCUAUUAGAGAUUUCCAGGCCCUGGGAUGAAAUCCUGGAAGAGGCUCAGUGGAGGGCCAGACCUGGGACCAUGGGUCAUGGAGGCAUGCCAUGGGCUCUGGGACUGGGGAGCCUCUCCAGUAGACAUGGACUGGCUGCUCAUUGCUUGGGGAUGUCCCCCAACAGUGUGUGCCCCUCUCCUUCCUGGGCAUCUGUGGGACCUGAGCUGACCUGAACUGCGUGUUUGGUGAAGGAAACCUCACUUUCCAGAAUAGCAGCCCCUGCCCUUGCUGGGUGCCCACAGCGCCUCAUUCUCAGCCAGCAGGAUGUCACAGGCAUUCUAUUCUGCUGGUCACUGCUCUCCCUGGGUCCAGUCUUCUUCCAGCUCUUAUGCCCCUUGCCUGUGGCCCCCUGCUGCCAUCCAGGAUCAGGCCUCUAACUGCCAAAACCCACCCCCAUUUCUGCCACUGGCCUGGACAUAUCCCCUAGAGCCCACCUGGCCACACUGCAGGUGAAGAGGCAGUUGGUCUUCUCUUUCCAGAGCCCUUGGAGCUCACUUGCCCUAUGCCCCACCUGGGUGGGCAUGGCCACGUGUAGGCAGGAUAUCAUUUCCCCUCUGAUGGUGGGAGCUAAGGGCCUAACUGGAUAUGUGAAGUGUAAGAAGAAACUGGGGGGGGCUAGGGAAUGUGGCUCAAGUGGUUCACCUAGCAUUCGUGAGGCACUGGGUUCGAUUCUCAGCACCACAUAAAAAUAAAAUAAAGAUAUUGUGUCCAUCUAAAACUAAAAUAAUAAUAAUAAUAAUAGACAUGAGGCCCAGCCUUUGCUACUCCAGGUCCCUGGCUCAGAAAACCACUUGGUUCCCCAGGUCCUCUGUGCCCUCCCCUGGCUGUUCUCUACUUCAGAACACAGGUCUCUCCUCCCAGCUGACCUGGUUGUCUCCUACUCAUCCCUCAGGCCAGCAGACCUUCUUCCAGGGGACCUUCCUGGGCCUUGAGGCUAGUUCAGUCUCUUCCCUUCCUACUUGUGCCCCUCUGCAGCCUUAGGCACUGUGUGGCAGCUGUCCAGUGCCCCCCUGGGUGGGGGCUCAGCAGGGAGAAGCAUGAUAAAGAUCCUAUAGGAGUCACUGUGCCAGGCAGGGUAGGGUGGGUGGGGGGAGGGCAGUCUAAAGGCUUUUGGGAGGAGGGGGUAUCCAGCUUCAGCCACAGUGGACACCUCAUUCCUGCCCCUCUUUGUGCAGCCUGUCAAGGCAGCAGCAUGAGCACCUCCCAGCCCACCUUGUCAGAGCUAAGCCCUGUUGAGGGAACCGGCGGCCCAGAAGGGAAGGUAAGUGGUUGAGGUGUGGGGUGAGGGGACAGAAGAUAGCUAGCCUCAAGCACUGGCUCAUGACUUGGGGCAGGCCUCUCUUCACUGCUGGCCUCAGUUUACCCAUCAGGUGGGGGAGGUCGUUGCUUUUUUUUAUCGAAGUCUGGUGCAGAAAGCAAUUGAAGGUGAGCCAUCCUGACUUACUUAGCACCCCUAUGGAUUUGGGGACACCAGGACUUGUUCCCCAAGAUUAAGAGCAUACUCUAUUCACUGUUGGGUGAUGCAAUACCAGGGGCCUGCCUUCAACUUGUUUUCUGGGAGUGGACCAUAGAGGCAGCAAAGACCUGACUGAGGUCUCUGCACAGAGGAAGCAGCCUGGGUGCUUUGGGUUCCAGUGCUGGGCCGGGAGCCAUGGAGCCAGCAGAGAGCAGCCCAGAGUUGCACAGGGCCAUCCUGGAAUCUGGGGCCACCGCACAGCUGCCCUGCAAACUCUGCCAGUCUGGGCCCUCUUCAACAGAGUGAGGACACUGAGCAGAGUAGUCCCCUGGCUGGGGGUGGGGCAGGAAGGAAAAUGGCAUGUGGGGUGGGAGACAGGAUGGGAAAGGAGCCCUGAACUGAUAGUGCAAGAGGCGGGGGGGGGGGCUUCUCUGCUGUCCUUUGAUGUCUAUCUGCUCUUUCAUUCCACAGAAGGCCCAACCUGGUGAUGCCUGUUCUCAAAACUCAGGGUCACCUGAAGUACUUGGUUAAGAGAGGGUCCUAAAAAAAAAUCAAGUCAUUCCUCUCUGUUGUUGGAAUGAAAUUGACCAAAUUAUGCUAAAUAUAACAUAGUGGGAAAAAUAAUAGAGGGUCCAAUGUGCAUUGAAGUCCACUGCCAGGUGAUUCUGCAGUUGUUCAAGGACUGUUUAGCAAAGUUCCACCUGCUGUGUUCCUGCCCUUCCUUAGGGCACAUGUACCACUGUGGGACAGAGGACCUGCACCAAGGAGCUGUCCUCUUAGAUGGAAAAGAUGGGAGGUGGGGAGCUCCAGAAAGAGGGAAACCGCCUAAGCCAGGGCAAGAAGUGGGACAGCACAGGCAGGUCCAGGCCACUGGGGUGCUGAGAGAUGGAGGUGUGUGAGGUAGUACCGUGGCCUCCACCUUGCAAGGUCUUGAAUGGGAGGCGGAGAAGCUGAGGGCACCCAAAGGGCUGGUGUGGGCACUGAACAAUGAGCUGAGAGCCAGAGCUCAGGUUGUCAUGGCAACAUCCUCCCAGCUCCUCUGAAUGGAAGGAGGAGGCCAAUGUCCCAGCAGGGAAGACCCCAGGAAGGGGUUGUGCAGGCUUCCAGAUACAGGAACAGCUGGGGGUACAUAUCACUCCUGGAGUAACCCUGGCCUCUCCAGCCUCAGGCUCCUGUCUGUGAAAUAAGCUUCUGAGAAUGAGUCAUGUAUGUUCUAUGGUGGCUCAGGGAGAGCUGUGACCCCAGCAGCCAAGUGCCCCCCUCCCUGGUAGUGGGAUGGGGGGGCAUACCCAUCUUGGGGAUACCCAUGUGUGUGCAUGCACACUCAUGCUCACGCCUGCCUGGAACUCCUAAUGGGGCAGAGGGCAGGGGAGGAGUGAGGGGGCAGGGAGCCCAGGGCUUGGUAUUGCCCUGACCCCUGUCAACUUUCUCUGCAGGCAGUGGGGAGUGCCCGGGAGAAGGGCCCUCGGCUGGGCCCGCGGCUGCCCUCAAUCGUGGUGGAGCCCAGUGAGGCAGGUGCUGUGGAAAGUGGGGAGCUGCGCUGGCCCCCAGAGGGCAUCCAGAGGGGUGCCCUUCCGAGCCAGGUUGUUGCUGCUGGUGAGUGAGGCUACCUGUGGGGGUGCUGAGAGGAAAAGAUGGCCACUGUCUCCCAAGUCCAAAGCAGGGCCUCAUUCCUGCCCAUUCUUGAAAGAGGUGCUGGAUCCCUUGAGCUUGCUUACAUCCACCUGACCUACCUCCAGCCUGUGUCAUCCAGGUUCCUAGGUGCCACCUAGCCUUGUCUCCUCCUUAUCGCCCUCCUCUCUCCCACCUGCAAUUAAGGUCCCCUCACCCACCCCUGUGACCCCAGGCCUGGCACCUGGAAGGUACACAGUCAGCAUUUGGUGAGUGAAUGACUGCACAUUCUCACCCCUCCCCACCAACCCUCCCUCUCUUUUUAUUCCCUCCCUCAUUGAUUCAAGACCUUUGGAACACUGCACAUUGCCCACUGGAGUCUAGAGGAGUCAGGGUAAAUACAAGUGCACAGUUGGGGACAUGGGCAGCCCAAUGGCCAGUUCCUGUCCUGGCAGCAGAUGCCCUGUGCAAAGGCUGGAGCUUCUGGAGGACCCUGGGGCAGGAGGAUCACCAGGCCCAGGCCCAGGGCAAAGGAUGGCAGCAGGCUGGGCAGUGGAGGGUCUCUGGGGAUGGCUCUGAAGCUACUGGGGUUGGGGAGGGGACACGAAGACUGAGCUGUGUCCUCAGAAGUUUUGUGCCUGAAACCCCCUAGGGUCUAGCCCCUAGUGAGAAAAUGAACCCAGCCCCAGCCAGGGAUGCUGGGCCUCCUGCCUGCCCUCUGUCUAUCUGCAGACCUUAGCCCCUGGGCAGGAGUCCUUGUGGUCAGCAACCCUGUAGCUUAGGCCCAGAAGGCAUCCAUGCCUAUAAUCUCCCCUGCUCAAAGCUUCUCACCCUUUGUCAGUUUCUGCCCAGGACCCAGGACAGCAUCAGGGACUGUCUCUUGGGUAACCACUGGGAUUAAGGUCCUGGAAAGGUCCCAGGUGUGCCCUGGACUACCCUUCACUGCCACCCCUUUUCUCUGAUACAUAGGGGAGGGGAGGAGUGCUCCUGCUCUUAGAGCAAGUUUUCCUCCCUCCCUAACUAGCAUAUCCCUCCUUCUCAUCCCUGGGGAAGAAGUGGAUUGCCCUGGCCCAGGUGCCUGCCAAAGGCUGGCCUCAGACCUGUGGGAUCCACCCAAGCUGGAGCCCUCCACCAACAUGGAGGCCCUUCUAUUUUUGCAGCCCCCUCCCCAAGUCUACAAGGAGCAUCAGGGAAGGCGGCGGAUGAUGUUGGCAGUGAGUGUGCCAGCUCCAUGGACCAGGCACCUCUGGCCCAGUGACAGAGAAAGACAUGGAGGGGCUCUGCUCUCUGACUGCUGAAAGGGCCUCAGUCCCAGGGUGGCUGGGCUACUGCACAGAGAGGGCUUGUCCUGCCCAGACACCCAGUUGGCAGAGCUUCCUGUCUCACCAGGUCUGGCCAGGACCUCAGCCCCUGCCUUUUCCCUCCAAGGCCCGGUCUGGACCACAUCCUCCUUGUUCUGUGGUUUGGAUCAGAAAUAAAGGCACUUCCUGGUCACCAGUGGGCACACUUGGUGGAGAUUCAAGGGACUGAGGACAAUUUUGGUUCUACUCGUGGCCUUCCAGACUGUCCUUAGAACCCAGGCUGACCAAGCCAGAGUGCCAGGUGGGUGGCCACUUCGAGGUUUGGCACUUGGGUGGGGAUGGAGAGUGACUGACUGGGUGGGGUGGGAACACUGCAGGAUGGGGCUGUCAGGUGCUGUAGUGUUUACCCUUCUGCUGCCCCUGCCUAGGGACCCCCUCCCUACUGUGCCUCAGCCUAGGCUACUUAAGGAAGGACCAGCCUCUUCUACAUGGCCUUCCUCUUCUACACUCCUCCUUGGGCCUUAAUGGCAUGAUUCCUGAACCUGUCACCCCCCCCCCCUUAAUCUGGGUGCAAUAGGGCACAGGAUCAAGUGUCCUAUACCAAGUUGGAUCUUAUUAACUCCUUGAAAAGUCCCAUUUUACAAAUGAGGAAACUAAGAUGCAAAGUGAGAUGCUCAAUGCCAGUUUUGGGUCUUUGAAGGGACCUUUUAGGCUAGGAAGCCACCAAGCUGGUAACAGAGCCCACACAGGAGGUUACAUGGGCAGGCACCUUUUCCUGCUCCAUGUGAGUGUCUCUUCCCUCCAGCAGGUCCAUGACAAGGUCUCUGGGCACUGUGCCAUCGCUGGGGUGGGCAGGGGGGCUGCUGCCUGGUCAGGGCAGGCUGGUAUGGCAGAAAGCUGCCCUGCCCAGGGCCAAGUCCCCUGUCCCCCCCACCGUAGGCUGUCCUCCCAGGCUCACAGCCUGGCCUCCUGCCCUUGGCGGUCCUGAGCCAGACCUGAGGAAGUUCAGGGCCAGGCAGAGGGGAGCCUCCUUGAAUGUUAGCUCCACGAAGUCCACAGGCGCCAGUGGGUGGGUCAGUGCCGUUUCCAGCUGCAGGGUAGGUGGACACCCAGGGCCCUCUGUUCUCUCCUAGUCCCAGUGCUGACUUCCAGGACCAAGGCGCACUUCCUCCACAGGCCUUCCUUCUAAAAACAGCCCACCCCCAAAAGGGGAGAGGUGUGCGGGGCGGGGUUGGGGAGAGGAGGCAGCGUUCUCCCGUGAGCCUGCUCUGAUAUUAAACACGUGGGGCCAAUAUGGGCCCAGGAUGUCCCCAUGUGCCCUUCUCAUGUCCUUCAGGAUCCUCCCUGUCCCCCGCCCUCCCCGUGGGGUCAGGAGCCCGGGACAGAGACGGGGGAGCGGGAAAGGGGGCAGACAUUUCGCGGGAAGUAUUGCGACACCCGGGCUGUGGGGUGAGGGAGCCCGGCAGGCAGGGCGCCGGCCGGGCGACGGUGCCGUUUACUAAGCUUGAACCCGCACCGCUCGGCUCGGGGGCAGGGACUGUUGCAGCCGUGUAAACACGACCUGGCCACGUCCCCACAGCGGUCAGACAGCGGGGCUCCGACGGAACGCCAGGUCGACCGAGAGGCCACCACGACGUCACUCUGCCGCUCACCGUCUACCAGGGCACUCCGAGGCCCCAGACUGACCACUGCCCUCACGCGGAGCGCAGCGGACACGGGCGGGGCGGAGCCAGAGGCUGCCCCGCCCUCCGCCCCGCCCCUCCCGUGGACCCGUCCCCAGCGCGAGGCCACGCAGUAUCAUUCUGCGGCUCCCCCUGGCGGUCACCAGGGCCACUGCACGGUGCGUUCUGAGGUGGGCGCCCAAUGCUCUGCAAUGUUCGCAGGACGGAUGGAGACUCAGAGCGGGCACUACCCCUGCCAUGCCCUGCAGCCGGUGGAGGAGUGGAAGAUAAAACCAGGGGCUCCUGUCCUCAGAUCGGGCUCCACCCUGGACCCAGAACAGUGUAGGUGGUUUGACGCCUCUGGCAUCUGAAUUCUGCUGUCACUGCCUGACUCCAAAAGAACCCUAGGACUGGCAGGCAGCUGGUGGGGAGGGUCCUUCUCCCCACCCUCCCCUACCUAGGAGCCAGGUCCUCAACUGAAGUGAGUCCCUUUGGUCCCCCCAAUAACUCCACUUUAUGGAGUAGUAAACCGAGGCUCAGGAAGUGCCCCUGCCGGAGAGGCAGGGAACUGGGAUUGUGUUCUGUGCAUGGCCCAGCCAUGUUUCUCCCUCUCAAUUGCUCCCUGCUCUGCCUUCUGACCCCUGCCAGGCCAGUCCUGUGCCCCAGCCUCCCCUGAGACAAGGCAGGGACUUUUCUACAGGGAUUUUACUGGGAAAGUUAGGGGGAAACAACAUGGAAACAGAAUAAAAGAACAACUGUAAGUUGGAAAGUGGACCCAGGCCUGGGGUGUCACUGGGAGCUUGAGAGCAGGCCCCAGGCCCUGGAGCUGUUCAGGCCCCUAGAACUUGAGUGAAGAUGACCCAUAACUGGAGGUCCAGGGGCCCUGAUAUAACCUGGCUGCACUCAUCUUGGGCCCCUACCCCCACCCCUCUCUUUUGGUACAGGGGAUUGAACCCAGGGGCAUUAACCACUGAUUCACAUCCCCAGCUCUUUUUUAUAUUUUAUUUAGAAACAGGGUCUCUCUGAGUUGUUCAGGGCCUCAAUAAGUUACUUAGGCUGGCUUUGAACUUGAGAUCCUCCUGCCUCAGCCUCCCGAGUUGCUGAGAUUACAGGUGUGAGUCACUGCCCCCGGCUCUUGCCCUGAGUCUUGAGUUGUUCUAAUUCCCUCUCAUCUCUCAUUUCCUCUAACUGUUGGGGACCAGAGGGCAAGCCAGGCAGAGCCGGGAGCACAGGACCACAAGCCUGCUGUGUUCCUUGGAGGCUGGAACUGCGACUCUUCCCACUCCACAGAGGGGACCCAGGGCUCAGGAGCUAGAUUAGCAAGAGGCCUAUCUGGAGGAGUGCUGGUGUCUUUGGAUCUGAAACGGCCUGUCUGCAGAUGCCUGGGCAGCAUCCUGGGUACCUUCCAGUUUGCUAUGGACUGAAUAUUGUCCCCCCCAAUUUCAUAUGUUGAAAUCUUAACCCCAGAACAUCAGAAGGUGACCUUAUUUGGAGAUGGGCUCUUUAAGAAAGUAAAUAAUUAAAAUGAGGUCAUUAGAUUGGGCCCUCAUCCAAUAGAAAAAGGAAAUUGACACAGACAUGCACAGAGUGAAAACCAGGUAAAGGUGCUGGGAGAAGGCGGUCACCUACAGACCUUCGAGGAGACAAACCAGCCCUGCUGCAUCUUAGCCUUAUCCCUGGUCUGCAGAGCUGUGAGAGAAAAACUGUUUAAGCCCCCCAGUCUGUGGUGCUUUGCAUGGUGACCCUGGGACACUAACACACUCAGCAUCCUGCCUGGGGCAGCUAGCUGGUUCCAGUCCAGGGUGGGACAGGCCAGAAUCUGUCCUCCUUGGAUUUUCCCUGACUUUCUUUCUUAGGACGCUUGCUUGGAAUCCCCCUGGGAAGGGGUGGGGGCUUCCUUCUCCAGGAGGGCUCUGUGACCCUCCCCACAAAAUGCCUUCGAUCUGACUUGAUGCGGAGGAGUGGGGCCCUUGUCCCUUGGCAUCAGGCUCAGCCACACCUCUGCAGUUGUACUGCUCCCCGCCCAGACACUGCCCCUCCUCGCUCCUCAGGAAUGGAGGGGACAACUACUCCAUGGGUGUCCCUGUGAGUGCACUUUUUUCUCUCAUCCUGGGCUGGGGAUAGAACCCAGGGACUCCCUAGGGCAAAAGUUUCUGCUCUGGCUUUCUGCCACAGCAGGGUGCAAGGGGCCUUGGGAUGAAUUUGAUGGAUAGGCCUGGUGCUGGAGCCCCUUCCCUCAAGGUAGGUGUCCCCGAGUCAAUGCCUGUGCCCCUGGCCUCUGGCCACAGGAGGGGUUGGUAGAAGUCCCUGCUAGCAUUCGCCCCCACUGCCUCAGUCCGGGUCCCAAGAAUGGUCCUCUCUCCCUUCCCUCCAGAGGCUCCUG